rnacentral:misc_RNA from 1 species
UGCGAAGUUCUGGCCUAGUACAGGUUUGUGUUUUGAUUUUAUUUUUUAUUUGUCUUUCUUGAAAGUUAAUUGCCUUGUUAAAUCUUUUAGGAUUGCCAUCGGAUUUGCUUUCUGUUUCAAGGACCAGUCUAGUUUCUUCCUUUCAGAGAAAAUAAAGCUAUAUUAGACUGGUGGUCAUUUCUUCAAGUUUUAGUCAUGUAGAAUUUAGAUCAACAAUGACAUAGUGAUAUAAUCAUCUGAAUGCACUUGGUUAUCCAUCUUCCAUAUUUAGAGAUUGCAAUUUCAAUCAUUUUUGUGAUUAGUGAAUAAUUUGUCUAUAGCAUGGAAUUGGAAGUACCGUGUCAGUUCAAUAUACAUGUGUACAUGUUGAUAGCUCUUCAGUUUUACUGAUGACUCCAUC